rnacentral:rRNA from 1 species
AGUUAUCGUUUAUUUGAUAGUACCCUACUACAUGGAUACCUGUGGUAAUUCUAGAGCUAAUACAUGCGCAAAACCCCGACUUCGGAAGGGGUGUAUUUAUUAGAUAAAAAACCAAUGCCCUUCGGGGCUCCUUGGUGAUUCAUAAUAACUUCACGAAUCGCAUGGCCUUGCGCCGGCGAUGGUUCAUUCAAAUUUCUGCCCUAUCAACUUUCGAUGGUAGGAUAGUGGCCUACCAUGGUGGCAACGGGUAACGGGGAAUUAGGGUUCGAUUCCGGAGAGGGAGCCUGAGAAACGGCUACCACAUCCAAGGAAGGCAGCAGGCGCGCAAAUUACCCAAUCCCGAUACGGGGAGGUAGUGACAAUAAAUACUGAUACAGGGCUCUUUUGGGUCUUGUAAUUGGAAUGAGAACAAUCUAAAUCCCUUAACGAGGAACAAUUGGAGGGCAAGUCUGGUGCCAGCAGCCGCGGUAAUUCCAGCUCCAAUAGCGUAUAUUAAAGUUGUUGCAGUUAAAAAGCUCGUAGUUGAACCUUGGGCCCGUCCUGCCGGUCCGCCUCACCGCGAGUACUGGUCCCGGAUGGGCCUUUCUUUCUGGGGAAUCCCAUGGCCUUCACUGGCUGUGGCGGGGAACCAGGA